rnacentral:lncRNA from 1 species
UUCUCUAUUGGUAAUGCCUCCCUGGCCGCCCCUCCCCGCGCAGGCACGUGAGAUCUAGGUGUAGGCACGUGGUAGUUACCGCUGCCUCGGUGGCUUGGAUUACCUGUGGGGGAGACUGGUAACUUGGCGGCAGUGGCGGAGGCAGGAAUGCAUAUAAUUGGACGUUGGGGAGGGCCGGCUGCAGGUAACAGUAAAAAUAUGUCACUGUUCAUAUGCAUAUUACCAAGGAAAUUAGGAUGUUGGGGAGGGCCCGGGCCCUGGCUGGCCCCCCUGUGCCUCCGCCACUGCUUGGCGGAGCUAGCAAUCUCGCCCUAGUACGCCUGUGUGUUCUCCCUUCUCCUUUCAAAGUGGCGACGCCACUUGUGGCAGUUACAUCCUUCGUGUCGAUUCAUAAUGUCAUUGUUUCUCACCCAGUCCUCGUGGUAUUUGGGGUCGUAAGGAACAACUUUUCCAUCUAUAAAUGGUUCUCCUGAAAUACAAGAAAAGGCAUACACCCAGAUCUCUUUACCAUAUGGACACAGAUGAAACCAAAAAUAGUGCACAAUCCUAAAUUAUCCAGGGAAG